UUGACUUCAUCGUCGACUUGAAGAGGUUGACCUCCUUAGUUGCCCUGCCCGUGAGGCAGAUUGGUGGAUUGAGCUUGCAAAGAUUCCUCCACAAGUUGUCGCAGUGAGUUGGUUCUCGAGCCGGUUGGUGAGCGUCGGUCUUUGGAUUCGUCACGCAAUUGUUCACGGACUCGUGCCUCCUGUGAGCCUAAUCUUGAAUGGAUUGUCUACCAACUCUGAGUAUGGCUUGCAGAUGUUUGGGUCUCGUCAGCACGAUCUCGUUCUCUC
rnacentral:lncRNA from 1 species